UUGUCAAGGUACCGUGAUGGUGUUGACUGGAGCUCACACUCGGCACCAUUGGUUGUCAAGGUACCGUGAUGGUGUUGACUGGAGCUCACACUCGGCACCAUUGGUUGUCAAGGUACCGUGAUGGUGUUGACUGGAGCUCACACUCGGCACCAUUGGUUGUCAAGGUACCGUGAUGGUGUUGACUGGAGCUCACACUCGGCACCAUUGGUUGUCAAGGUACCGUGAUGGUGUUGACUGGAGCUCACGCUUUCAGGGACGGUUUUGCAGGUACAUGAGUAUUUGCAAUCUGCUGUGAGCUGGCAGGAAUGGUGUUCACAAUGGCAUAAUCAAAAUGACCCUUUUUAGUUGUGUGUGUAACUCAGCAUGAGCUGAGAAAAGGGGAUGUUUUGUGUGUAUGUUUUCUUUGAUUUCUCCAUUGUCAAUAUAUGAGUUAUUUAAAGACUGUUGGUUGGUAUUGCACAAGGCAACUAUUUUCAGAACAGUUUGCAUGUAUUUAAACUGUUUGCACAUCAGUGGUAUAGUUUUGCAUGUAUAACAUUCUCAGUGCUUAAAUACUUUGUUUUGUUUGUUAAUGUGGGAUAAGACUCAGUUCUUUGAACAUACAAUAUUAAUAUUAUUAUUAUUAAGCCUUUUUUAUGGUGUUUUCUGUUUGCAUUUUUCUCACAUAAAUUACUGGAGUUUACUUCAGAAUACUGAGCUUUGUAGUGUAUACAGAUCAUAUUUGGUAAUAUACAGAAUUAAAGGAAACUGGAAAUAAUCAGAAUUCUUUAGCAUAUUAUAAUAACUUCCCUUUGCGUGUGUGAAUUGUCAGUGUUUUAGUGCAGUUUUAAGCAGUAGAGUGGUAGUAGUUAGGGCUGGCUAAAAAGAUUGAUAAUUGGAAAUAUCGUCAAUUGGAAAAAUUAUCGAUGUGAUAAUUGUGUCAUCAUUAAUAUUGUACAUAAAUUUUGUGAUGAAAUAAAGUUUUAAUUUUGUCCCACAAUACA